rnacentral:rRNA from 1 species
UGAGGAAUAUUGGUCAAUGGGCGAGAGCCUGAACCAGCCAAGUAGCGUGCAGGAUGACGGCCCUAUGGGUUGUAAACUGCUUUUAUGUGGGGAUAAAGUGCGUGACGUGUCAUGCAUUGCAGGUACCACAUGAAUAAGGACCGGCUAAUUCCGUGCCAGCAGCCGCGGUAAUACGGAAGGUCCGGGCGUUAUCCGGAUUUAUUGGGUUUAAAGGGAGCGUAGGCUGUCUAUUAAGCGUGUUGUGAAAUUUACCGGCUCAACCGGUGGCUUGCAGCGCGAACUGGUCGACUUGAGUAUGCAGGAAGUAGGCGGAAUUCAUGGUGUAGCGGUGAAAUGCUUAGAUAUCAUGACGAACUCCGAUUGCGCAGGCAGCUUGCUGUAGCAUAACUGACGCUGAUGCUCGAAAGUGCGGGUAUCAAACAGG